rnacentral:misc_RNA from 1 species
UGGUUCUGGCAUCGAUGAAGAACGCAGCGAAAUGCGAUAAGUAAUGCGAAUUGCAGAAUUCCGUGAGUCAUCGAAUCUUUGAACGCACAUUGCGCCCCUCAGUAUUCUGGAGGGCAUACCUGUUCGAGCGUCAUUAUCAACUAUCAAGCUAGGCUUGCUAUUGGGUGCUGAUCGUUAAGAGAUCGACCCUAAAGACAGAUAACGGUGUGAGGUUGGACGCCUGAUGCAAUGAGCUUUACAGCACGCAUCGGUUGAAGGCUUUACCCCAGUUUAACCGUAACUUACAGAGUUGACCUCGGAUCAGGUAGGAUUACCCGCUGA